CUCUUCCUCUGAGGUGCUGGGCUCCCCUCCACUUGGGUCCUUAGGAGAAGAAAUAACAGAAUGAAGAUCUGUGGUCUCUAGGCUUUUCAGUUUGCAGCCUGAAAGUCCCACCGAGAAAGCAAGCUUCAGAACAAGGAGGGAAAGAGGCAGAGGGGGCCGAAAGCUUGCUCAGUGUCAACCAUGGUGGCUGACAGAGGCAGGCUGGAACCCGGCAUUCAUGGACUCGGGAGGCAACUGCUACACCGGUUCCUCGGUGUCUUUUUGACUUUUCACUGUACGUGAAUGAAGAGCUUCAAGUGGUGGCCACUGUCGUGUCUAGCUGUGAGUUACAGGGGGGCACUGAGGAUGGACGGAUAGGGGGUUCUGUUUAGCAGGGCCAGGCUCAACAGGUAAGACGGAUGACCUGAGUUCAGUCCACAGAACCCACGAGGAGAAACAAAUGACUUCCAAACAGUGCACACAGGAAUAAGCACAGAAACCAACAAGGCCAGAAAGAUACUUCAGUGGUUAACAAGGCUUGCUGCACAGUCACAGAGACCGAAGAUCAGAUCCCAGGUCCCACCCAGCAUCCUAAGGUCCAGCAUGCGUCUGCAGUGCCAUCUUCUGCAUGCACUCCCAGGAAGUACACACAAAUGCUCACACACACACGCACACCACCACCACCUCCACCUCCAUCCACCCCCAGACUAAAGCUUAGUGAAUGGCUCCGCACUUGCUGCCCAAACCAACAACCUGGGGCUCACUCGGUGGAAGGAGGGAACCUGGUGCAUCAAUGCACACACACAACAAAUAAAUGCAAUAAAUAAAUGUAAACCAAACAGUGGAAAACUGUAGAAGCGCGCGGGGGGGGGGGGGGGGGG